GCGAGCCUGACGGAGCACGCCGCGUGAGGGAUGGAGGCCUUUGGGCUGUAAACCUCUUUUCUCAAGGAAGAAGACCUGACGGUACUUGAGGAAUAAGCCACGGCUAAUUCCGUGCCAGCAGCCGCGGUAAUACGGGAGUGGCAAGCGUUAUCCGGAAUUAUUGGGCGUAAAGCGUCCGCAGGCGGCCGUUUAAGUCUGUUGUUAAAUCGUGGAGCUCAACUCCAUCACGGCAAUGGAAACUGUUCGGCUUGAGUAUGGUAGGGGCAGAGGGAAUUUCCGGUGUAGCGGUGAAAUGCGUAGAUAUCGGGAAGAACACCAGUGGCGAAAGCGCUCUGCUGGACCAUUACUGACGCUCAUGGACGAAAGCCAGGGGAGCGAAAGGGAUUAGAUACCCCUGUAGUCCUGGCCGUAAACGAUGAACACUAGAUGUUGGGGGAAUCGACCCCCUCGGUGUCGUAGCUAACGCGUUAAGUGUUCCGCCUGGGGAGUACGCACGCAAGUGUGAAACUCAAAGGAAUUGACGG
rnacentral:rRNA from 1 species